rnacentral:tRNA from 1 species
ACCUGGCUGGCUCAGCUGGUUGAGCAUCUGACUUUGGCUCAGGUCAUGAUCUCAUGGCUUGUGGGUUCAAGUCCUGCUUCGGGCU